rnacentral:lncRNA from 1 species
CUUUUGAAUCUGAGGGUCUCUUCUUGAAUGCGGAGUUGAUGAGCAGCGUGUUGGCCUUAGGGACAUCUGUGUCCCAGCACUGAUCCUUCCAGGAUGUGGCUUCUCCUGUCCAGGGCCUCAGGCCUCCUCCACUUCAGAGAGGAGCAUACUCCAGACUUUAUGCAUGCAGUCUGGUGGGAGGCAUCACAAAGCUGGCGUGGCAAAGCCCUAAGAUGCCAGGUCACAGGACACACGGAGCUGCCAAGGCCCUCUACCCCAUAGCUCUGGUGAGAGACCCCAGGCCCCUUAGAACCUCUUUGGGCCCCCUGCCGUGAGGCAAGAGCCCCUCUCCAGACACCCCUCGCCCGGGAGCAGCUGGACCCAGCCUGCCUUCUCCAGCCCCGGGGCGGCUGCUUAGCCCCAGGUGCCGUUAACAAUGGCCGGCCUGUGUCAGGGUCCCCAUUCACCAUGUGCACAGGAAGCCCAGCUCGGGCCAUGCAUCUGAUUUUGCACCAGCUCCUGCCCAGCCCACCUGAGAAUGCAGAUGUUUGGAUCCAGUGGGGAAUGUGUUCCUGCUCCAUGCUCCCAAUUUCAGAACAAACUUUGAGCUGAGCUACAGCUUUCUCAUUGAUCCCCUUCUAGUCUUCUGAACAAAUUAGUCUGUGAUUUUUUAUUUUUUUCCAUUUAUUGCUGACCCUUUUGGAUUUAUGAGGCCGUGUGAGAGGAAUUAUGUAUCUCACACACACGCAUCUGGCAUGACGAUAAAUCUCCACCACUGAAGCCCCGCAGAUUUGCAGCGAAUCUGAUGGCUCCCAGGCUCGCUGCCACGUGGUUGGUGCUGACGUGCGGCGCAAUGCGGUGGCGGCUGCAGUCACAGCUGGAACCAGCGUGACUUUCCCUGGGAGCCCAGCAGGUGCCUCGCGUCGCUGGCAGGUGGUAGGGUGCCCUUGAAGGGGGCUGGUCGUGAGGAACGAAGGAAAACCCGGGCCAGGGCUUCCAAGGACAGCGGCCCUGGAGGGGGCCGGAGCCGUCAGGUUACUCUGAGCACCGGAGAAAAAGCCGCUUCAGCAGAGGUGUAAACGCAUUUAAUCUCCCAACAGGACAUAUACAGAGCGGAGGGCUUUGGCAUUCAGAUAUAUUGACCGGGCAAGAUGGUAAUCCAAGGUUCCUCCCCUUCAAGGUCUCCUGCUGUAUUUGCCUGGGCUCUGAUCUGUCGUCACCGCUUGGGCCAAUAAAUCUUGAUACCAGC